rnacentral:rRNA from 1 species
UACGGAGGGUGCAAGCGUUAUCCGGAUUCACUGGGUUUAAAGGGUGCGUAGGCGGGCUUGUAAGUCAGUGGUGAAAGCCCGGAGCUUAACUCCGGAACUGCCAUUGAUACUGCAGGUCUUGAGUACACUUGAGGUGGGCGGAAUACAUCAUGUAGUGGUGAAAUACUUAGAUAUGAUGUAGAACACCAAUUGCGAAGGCAGCUCACUACACGAAUAUUGACACUGAGGCACGAAAGCGUGGGGAUCAAACAGG